rnacentral:rRNA from 1 species
UACGUAGGGUGCAAGCGUUGUCCGGAAUUAUUGGGCGUAAAGAGCUCGUAGGCGGUCUGUCACGUCGGCUGUGAAAACCCGGGGCUCAACCCCGGGCCUGCGGUCGAUACGGGCAGACUAGAGUGCGGUAGGGGAGACUGGAAUUCCUGGUGUAGCGGUGAAAUGCGCAGAUAUCAGGAGGAACACCGGUGGCGAAGGCGGGUCUCUGGGCCGUAACUGACGCUGAGGAGCGAAAGCGUGGGGAGCGAACAGGA